UUGCUGCGCGGCUUGAUACAAACUAGAACCAAAUUUAAAGGAUUAAUUGCAGAUAAGAAGUGGGUUGGUGUAUGUUGUUUGUGGAGCGUGUUGUGUAUGUAGUAUACAAGUCGAAAAUUGUUUAAAAUAUGUUUGAAUGGGAUUAAUGAUCGUAAAAUACAGGCCAAACUGCCCCCCUCUUGAAGGAGUGCUGCUGUAAUAGCAUUCUUGAGGCUGCCGUUUCUCUACAGAUGUAAACUGCUGCUGCACAGCUGGAAUAUUGGAAGAUACACUAACAUCUAAACUGGAGGCUGAACUACCUCCAUCUCGAGGGAGUGCUGCUGUAAUAGCAUUCUUGAGGCUGGUAUUUCUCUACGGAUGUAAGCUACUGUUGUCCGAUCGGAGUAUUGGAAGAUAAACUGACAUCUGAACUGGAGAAAUAACGUGGCAAAGAAAACAUGAAAAUCCUGGCCCUCAUAGCAAAACUGAAGUAGGAGUGAUAUUUUAACAAGAGUAUUUUAUUUCAAGUAAACAGAUGGACAAAUCCUUUAUUGUGUGCCUACAAUAUAGACAGUUAACAGUGGAGACAGACAUUUUGGACACAGCUGUAAAUUACAUUGGAGCCUAUGCCUGAAAGAAUUUAGGAUGGACAGACCACAUAAAGCUGGUUGUUGCGAAGGCUGUUGGCAGACACAUCUGAUAGAAUGGCAAAAAUGGAGUAGGAAACAGCACAUAAACAUGAGUCACAAUUUCACACACACACAUGCAUACAUAGUUACAGAGACUACAUGUAAUGUACAUCUAGACAUACAUUGGGGACCCACCCAGAUAGCUGUGUGCCAGCGUGACUCUUGUGGGAGGUGUAAGUGCCUGAGUUCAAAUCCGUCCAAUGGAUCAAUAGCAUUGAUAGGUGUGCUUGCCAGUCUGGAGGAGAUAUUAAGGUGGUUUCCCACAUCCGAUUACAUGAAUACCAUGAUAGUACCCACAUUUUGCCUCGGUUAAUGUGAAUCACAAACAUUCAGAAAACAUUUGAUCACUUUCACAAGAGAU
rnacentral:misc_RNA from 1 species